UACGUAGGGUGCAAGCGUUGUCCGGAAUUAUUGGGCGUAAAGAGCUCGUAGGCGGCCUGUCGCGUCCGCUGUGAAAACCCGGGGCUCAACCCCGGGCUUGCAGUGGAUACGGGCAGGCUAGAGGCAGGCAGGGGAGAACGGAAUUCCCGGUGUAGCGGUGAAAUGCGCAGAUAUCGGGAGGAACACCGGUGGCGAAGGCGGUUCUCUGGGCCUGUACUGACGCUGAGGAGCGAAAGCGUGGGGAGCGAACAGG
rnacentral:rRNA from 1 species